GUCUUCUUGGUCUUCUCUCAGUCCUGCCUUUUCCCCUUUUCAUGCUCCACCAUUCAAACCUUCCAUUUGCUUUCUCUCUCCUUUGAACCAGUCUUUGUUAAAACCAGUCUUUCUCACUAUCACUCUAUCUUUCCUUUCUCACUUCAUUUUCUCUCUCUUCACUCUCCACUCUGCACGCAUCUCUCCUUAAUCCAUUUUUCCCCUAAACCCAAAAACACAAACUUUCAGAAUAUUAGGGUAGUUUCUUCUCCAUUGAAGCGUAUUACAAGUUUUUCAUUGAAGCUGAGAGUUGGGUUUCAUCUCGAAGCUAAGAUAAGCCAUUUACGGCAAGGAUUCAAAUUUGUAGGACCCGAAACCCAGAAAAAUAAGCGUAGUAUUGAUCAAUUUUUUUAUGGAUGAAUUAUUGAAUGUUGCAACCGUCUACAGUUACCUCUUCUCCAACCAAUUCGACACUUCCUGUAUUCUCCGACACAAAUUCGUACACCUCGCACUAAAGUCGAAUAUCAGACUAAAUAUGCUCCUCCUCAAGAGGUUGAUAAUCAUGUUAGUCGAGGAUUUGAAGCCAGUGAAGGAUACCGACCAUACGAAUGUUGCUCGAUCUUAGAUGUGAAAUCAGAACCAAUUAAGCUAGAUGAGUUGUGAUGUGUGUAACAGAGGAUAGUGCUUUUUAUAAUUAAUCAAAGGCAGCUUUUAUUUGCACAAGAAUAUGUUGUACAAGAUGCAGCCUUCGAUGAUGUAUACAAUUUUUAAAGGGCAAGCAAAUUAUUUAGGCAUGAGCAAACUAUACGGAGAUUUUGUUGAAUUUUCUGGGGCAUAAAUUGAAGAAUAUCAAGAGGAAGGAAGAGAGAGAAAGAGAAGUUUGGACCUGAGAGAAGUUCGACCCUAGUGUGUUUACUAUUCUAUUUCUAGCUGCACAUGGCGGAAAAUUACAGGGGUUGGUGGUCAGUUCAAUCGAAUCUAAUUCAAUGCGAUACUCCGUAUUAUUUUAUUUUUCUUGUAUAUAUGCGCUCUUAAGGUGUAAUGAAUUUCUUGAAUGAACUUAGUUUGUGGGCACUUUCUCAUUUGAUUUUAAGGGUUUGCCUUUCGCCUUCUAGAAAAUUGAAUCGUGUGGACUCAAUUUGUUUUAUUUUUAAAUUUUAUCAAUUAUAAUUCACCCACACUAGUAGAAUAAACGUAAUGGCAAGCGGUUCAAACUCCCUAAUGGGAAGCGAUUUUGAACCGCAUGGGAUUAGGUGGCUUGCCAUUAGCCAUUUAAAUGGCAAGCGGUUCAUAUCCGCUUGCCAUAACUAGAGAAAGGGCAACGGUUUUGGCGCUAAACCGCUGCCCAUUAUGGGUAUAAAAAAUAAAAAAAAAAAAAAUUGGGUUUUUUUCCACAAAAAUUGAUAUAUAAACCAAACA